rnacentral:rRNA from 1 species
UACGUAGGGGGCAAGCGUUGUCCGGAUUUACUGGGCGUAAAGCGCGCGUAGGCGGCCCGGUAAGUCCGUUGUGAAAGUCAAAGGCUCAACCUUUGAACGCCGAUGGAUACUGCCGGGCUAGAGUCCGGAAGAGGCGAGUGGAAUUCCUGGUGUAGCGGUGGAAUGCGCAGAUAUCAGGAGGAACACCAAUAGCGAAGGCAGCUCGCUGGGACGGUACUGACGCUGAGGCGCGAAAGCCAGGGGAGCGAACGGG